rnacentral:rRNA from 1 species
AACGAACGCUGGCGGCAUGCCUAACACAUGCAAGUCGAACGAUGCCUCCGGGCAUAGUGGCGCACGGGUGCGUAACGCGUGGGAAUCUGCCCUUGGGUUCGGAAUAACUCGCCGAAAGGCGAGCUAAUACCGGAUGAUGACGUAAGUCCAAAGAUUUAUCGCCCAAGGAUGAGCCCGCGUAGGAUUAGCUAGUUGGUGGGGUAAAGGCCCACCAAGGCGACGAUCCUUAGCUGGUCUGAGAGGAUGAUCAGCCACACUGGGACUGAGACACGGCCCAGACUCCUACGGGAGGCAGCAGUGGGGAAUAUUGGACAAUGGGCGAAAGCCUGAUCCAGCAAUGCCGCGUGAGUGAUGAAGGCCUUAGGGUUGUAAAGCUCUUUUACCCGGGAUGAUAAUGACAGUACCGGGAGAUUAAGCUCCGGCUAACUCCGUG